AAGAGCCGGGUCGCUCUCGUCAGCUGAGGAGAAUGAUUCAUAGAGGAGGGUCAGGAGAGAAGAACAGUUCUCUCUGCGAGAGCCCACUUAAAAGGCUGUACUCUUCUCCGAGGGGGGGAGAGGCAGGAGAGUAAGCGAGGCCUCGGGCCUGGCCCCGUCUCGGGCCGCUCGUCAGGGCUCUAUCGAGUCCUGGGCCUUGACGGGGGCGGCCGCGAGGCGCCGGUUGCUGGGGGACCGUGACGUCGCGGGGUGAAAGUUGAGGGGCGGUGACGUCGGCCCUGCCCGGGCGGAGGCUGGCGGGUUGGAGGCAGGAGGGAGGGAGGGAAGGAGGGAAGGAAGGAAGCUGGGAACGAGCGAGCGAGCGGGGGCGCGAGGCGUUUACCUGGAGGCAGCGGCUUGGGCGCGCAGAGCGGCCGCGGCUCCCCCGCACCUGCGGCCAUGGAUGAGGAGCGCGCCCUCUACAUCGUCCGGGCCGGCGAGGCGGGGGCUAUCGAGCGGGUCCUGAGGGAUUACAGCGAUAAGCAUAGGGCUACUUUCAAAUUUGAAUCAACAGAUGAAGAUAAAAGAAAGAAACUCUGUGAAGGCAUAUUUAAAGUCCUUGUAAAGGACAUCCCAACAACAUGUCAAGUGUCCUGCCUGGAAGUUCUCCGCAUUCUCUCCAGAGACAAAAAGGUUUUAGUUCCUGUAACAACCAAGGAAAAUAUGCAGAUACUGCUGCGAUUAGCCAAGCUAAAUGAGUCGGAUGAUUCUUUGGAGAAGGUGUCAGAGUUCCCAGUUAUUGUGGAGUCAUUAAAAUGUCUGUGUAACAUAGUGUUCAACAGUCAGAUGGCACAGCAGCUCAGCCUGGAACUUAACCUUGCUGCAAAGCUCUGUAACCUCCUGAGAAAGUGCAAGGACCGAAAGUUUAUCAAUGACAUUAAGUGCUUUGACUUGCGCUUGCUCUUCCUCCUGUCACUUUUGCACACUGACAUCAGGUCACAAUUGCGCUAUGAGCUCCAGGGACUACCGCUGCUAACCCAGAUCUUGGAAAGUGCCUUUAGCAUCAAGUGGACCGAUGAAUAUGAAUCGGCCAUAGACCAUAAUGGACCUCCUCUCUCACCUCAGGAGACAGACUGUGCCAUUGAGGCCCUCAAAGCUCUCUUCAAUGUGACGGUAGACAGUUGGAAGGUGCAUAAAGAGAGUGAUUCUCAUCAGUUCCGUGUCAUGGCAGCUGUCCUUCGCCAUUGUUUACUAAUCGUAGGUCCAACUGAAGACAAAACAGAAGAGCUGCACAGCAAUGCAGUCAACCUUUUAAGCAAUGUUCCGGUCUCUUGUUUGGAUGUUCUCAUUUGUCCAUUAACCCAUGAAGAAACGGCCCAAGAGGCAACGACACUAGAUGAACUACCCAGUGAUAAAACAGCUGAGAAAGAAACUGUUUUGAAAAACAAUACCAUGGUAUACAAUGGUAUGAAUAUGGAAGCCAUUCAUGUUUUACUCAGUUUUAUGGAGAAGAGAAUAGACAAGGGAAGCAGCUAUAGAGAAGGUCUCACUCCAGUUCUCAGCUUAUUAACAGAAUGUUCCCGAGCCCAUCGAAACAUCAGAAAAUUUCUCAAAGAUCAGGUUUUACCACCAUUGAGGGAUGUGACAAAUCGACCUGAAGUUGGCUCAACUGUGAGAAAUAAGCUGGUGCGCCUCAUGACACAUGUUGACCUUGGAGUCAAGCAAAUUGCUGCUGAAUUCCUUUUUGUCCUUUGCAAAGAGAGAGUGGAUAGCCUGCUGAAAUACACUGGCUAUGGGAAUGCUGCAGGACUGUUGGCGGCCAGGGGCCUCUUGGCUGGAGGAAGAGGAGAUAAUUGGUACUCAGAGGACGAGGACACAGACACUGAAGAAUACAAAAAUGCAAAACCAAACAUUAAUCUUAUCACUGGUCAUUUAGAGGAACCAAUGCCAAAUCCCAUAGAUGAAAUGACAGAAGAACAAAAAGAAUAUGAAGCCAUGAAACUUGUCAACAUGCUUGAUAAACUUUCCAGGAGAGCAGAUGUGAAGGACCUGCACCAGGAUGGUGGUUAGCAACAGUGGCCCGUGCCAAAGCACUUACCAAAGUGAUGACUAAGACCCUGUCAUUAAUUCCAUGUGUCAAUACUGCCCUGUAGUACACAGAGCAGACAAGAAAGAAGAGCCCUUGAAAACAAGGGAAUGAUUUUUGAGUCGUUAUCAAGCUAAGUGGCAAGCGGGAAGCUGAAACUCGUAUAGUUGAACAUUCUUGGAGGCUUAUCUCUUCCCUGGCCAGAUGCCUGAUCAGAUGAGAAGCCCGCCAUGAUACUGUCACAGUGCCUAGAAUGGGCUCUUUAUCCAGUAGACAUCACUGUACUUUUUGAUGAUAACGAGGGCAGUCUUAACUUGUGUUAAGGCCUGUGUAUAGCAUUAAAGGGAGGAGUUGCUUAAACCAAUGGGACUAAAACCUGAUGGGACAAUAACGCCUUUGGAGGAAGCACUCAACCAGUACUCUGUCAUCGAAGAGACCAGCUCUGACACAGACUAAAAGCGUCACCUGCCCAACUCUCAAUAUUGCUUUUAUCAGCAUCUUUUCUCUGUAGCUCCAGGGGAGUCUUUUCUCUAAAACAUUUAUGCCCUUGCUUUGGCUAGAAACACAUUAACUGGUUUACUCGUUGAGAAUCCAGCAUAUUUAAGAGGUGAUCCUGUGUUUUCGCAAUACCGAGGCGUUCGUACAGAGCUGCAGUUAGAUGGAGUGGCAGGGGCUAACCACAGAAGAAGAGGAAUUCCAUUUCAUUGGGAUGGAACUGAAGGACUUCAUCCUAUAAAGCAGCCCCGGUUGAAUCUGGCCGUUCUGUUUGCCAAGGUUCUUAGAUGUAGUCGUGGCCUUCCUCUCUCGCCUGUGAAAGCUGCCCCCUUCUGAAUCUCUCCAGCAGACGGAGCCACGUGAGAAGCAGAACGAGCCGCUAAAUAAGGGCUGAGGCAAGUGACUUGUUAGAUCAGGACUGACUACAUGGAAGCCAAGCAGCUGCUCCAUAAACCUAGUCCCACUCUUCAAUUUUGUACAAAUAUGUGGAAAUGCACAAACACGCACACACACAGCCCCAGACUUGCAAACUGAUUACAUUCUAAAAGUUUGUAGGUCCCUUAUCGAGAACUUCAGAAUACAUUUCUCCCUCUAAAGGGUUAUAAAUGAUGGUUUAGUUCUGAGGCAGCUACAGAUGCCUAUUUAUUCUCUUACGUACCUUAACACUAGUACCAUAGAACUGAACCCCCAUCUGUAUCAUUGCAUGGGAGCAUGCAUUCUGAGGUCUAACUCGGGGUGCCAGGAACACACGUCCUCCAACCCAGCAGAGAGGAUGGGGACUCCCGGAGUGCUGGGAGUUCUCUCAUGGCCUCUGCUGGGGGUGGAGGGGGUCAGCAGCCCCCAUUUGUACAUAUAGGUCAUUCAUAGGUCACAGGUUGUACAUUGGGACUGUGUGUGCGCUUGUGUGUGUGUUUGACCUUUCUACCAUAUGUGAUCAGUUUAAUGGUAACUUUAUUUAUUUAAAAAAAAAAAGAAACACAGUUACUGUUAAACUGAUUAAGGCUGUUUAUUUUUACUUUUAGAAUUGGUCAUAUGAAGAAGUAGAAUAUGGAUCCUGCAAUAGACAGUGGGCCUAGUUAAUCAGUGGCUAAAGCUGAAAGGGGUUGGUUUCCUUGUAUAUAUGUCUGCAUGGAUGUAUGUACAUGUACGUACAUGCAUACAUAUAUACACAUAGAUAAUGUGCUUAACCACUGCCUUUUAAAACUUUAAAUUAAAUAAAACAUUGGGGUUGAUUCAAUUUAGCCAUCUGUGUGUGUUUCUUUACAGAUACAUGGGGCAAACAAUAUUUCAGAGUUUAUGCUUUUUUUUAAAGUGUUUUCACAUCUGUUAUCUCACUUACCAUAAUACCCCUUCUAAGGAUAGGUAAAGUACGUGGAGUAUUGGUGGAAAAUGUCAUUUAUCCAGAGAUCCCUUCUCUGACAAAACAACAGUUCAAGGAUGCAGUUUUUAAAGGCCUUUGAGCUGCCAAAGAAGUCACUAGAGUUUCUUGCAAUUUACUCAUAGGAGAGAUCCUCAAGAAUCUCUCCUUUUACCUCUUUACUAAAAUUUGCAUACAUUUUAACAGAUUUUUUAAUGGGCUUGAAAGCCAGAUAACUCAAAACAAAAACAAAGAACAAAAUGGCAGAGGAAGUGGCUGCUCAAUAGAAGGCAGGUCUACCGAAAACCACUGAAGGCCCCGCUAAAAUCCGGAUAGGAGGGCAGGGAGGAGGAGGAAAUCUACACCAGGCCUCACAAGUCUGGGCCAGUCUGUUUCCCAAAGGACACUGGUGGACCCAGAAAGAUCUGUACCAACAGCAUGGCCCAUAGACAAAUUCUCAGAGAGAGGACCCGGACUUGAUUUCACAAAACUGAGUAAGUCCUGAAUACUCCAGAAUAAAAGGCUAGGAAGAAUACAAUAUACUUCAGGAUUUUCAUCCAGAUAGUUGGAGAAGUGGUGGGUGACCCAUGUUUUAACAGUAAAUGAAAUGAAACUCGGCAAUUCAUAAAUUUAGAUUGUGUGAAAAAAGUUUAGAAAAAGUAUUUUUGUUACUUCAUCCUACAAAUGCAUUUUUAAAGUAUUUUUAUAAUUUCUACAAGCAAAUAGCUUUGGCAUGAGUGUCGGCUUACCUACGUGAAGACAGGUUUACCGAAAUAGCAUCUUGCCAGCUGUGCACAGUGUUUGAACAGUCCUGCUUAAGUCGCUGUGCUCUACUGCUUUCAAGGAGUGUGUUUCACUCUGCGGUUCCCUGCACUGGGCACUAAGUACUAGGCUUUGUUUUUGAAGAGAGCAUUUGCAGGGGGAGAGGAAGGACCUCAUUUUGCCCCUGGAAAGAAAACUAACGUCUGCUCAGUCCUUAGUAUGUGCUGGGCUUUUCAUGUCUCUUAUCGCAAGUAACCUCAUCGCAUCUCCUGUUAGAGACCGUCCCUGCAGGCCUCAGUUUCCCAGUGUCACUGCAAACAGGAGUCCAAGUCUGGCUGGCCUGACUCCCAACACCUCCCUCCCUCCCCUCACCACCCUGACUACCUGGGGCCUCCUAGGAUUCUGGAGUGCUGCAGGCGGGCAUUCUCAGGCCAUUUUAAGCAAUAACCAUUUCAGCAGAACCAGUUUAAGGCACCUUAUAAGCAGGGGGGUGACCUGGAGCGGAUCUGUGAGUGGAAGACUUGCGCAGGACCGGAUUUCAAACAAGGACCUGGAAUCCUUGAGGUCAGAGACCAGGGCUGCAGGCUUGCCCUAGACAGAUGCCUGCCGCGACGGCCCACGGCAGGGAGGAGCAUACGGAUGGGCCGCGUGUCCGCAGCCCUCCUGCCCUCCAACGCAGGGCAUGCAAGUACCACCACAAGGCACUUGAGUACAGCUGACAGACGUUCGGGGCCCCCUUCCCACACCCGUGGUCCUGGGAGGUGGGCAGACGGGUUCUCUGCCCUCCUUUAUAAAUGGGGACACCUCCUGCGGCAGUGCAGGUACUGAGUAGCUCCUCAACACCGCAUCAGUCUCACUGCCUCCCGAUACUAGGUGUCUGGUGUCAUGGUGUCACCGGUACAGACCUGUCCCCCACCCCCGCCAUCAUGAAAGUAAUCUAUGAAUAUAUGCUCAUUAUGAAAAGUUUGGAAAAUGCAGAAAGCUAAAGUCACCCAAAUCCCACCACCAAGAUAAUCACUGUUAAUGUUUUAGUGUAUUUCUGUCCUGUAUUUUUUCUAUGCAUAUAGAAUUUAUUUUAUUACAAGACUGGGAUCAUACUGUAUUUACAGAUUUGUAUCCUGCUUUCUUCUUUAAUAUAUUGUGAGCAUUUUCCCAUGUCAAUAAAUAUUCUUCAAAAGGUAA